rnacentral:rRNA from 1 species
CGCUAGGAUGAACGCUAGCGACAGGCCUAACACAUGCAAGUCAGGGGCAGCACAAGGAGCAAUCUGAGGUGGCGACCGGCGCACGGGUGAGUAACACGUAUGCAACCUGCCUGUAAGCGGGGAAUAACCCGUUGAAAGACGGACUAAUACCGCAUAAUACUAAAUUACUGCAUGGUAAUUUAUUUAAACAUUUAUGGCUUACAGAUGGGCAUGCGCAUGAUUAGCUAGUUGGAGAGGUAACGGCUCCCCAAGGCAACGAUCAUUAGGGGUUCUGAGAGGAAGGUCCCCCCACACUGGUACUGAGACACGGACCAGACUCCUACGGGAGGCAGCAGUGAGGAAUAUUGGUCAAUGGACGAGAGUCUGAACCAGCCAAGUCGCGUGCAGGAAGAAUGUCCUAUGGAUUGUAAACUGCUUUUGCAGGGGAAUAAAGUGCAUCACGUGUGAUGUUUUGUAUGUACUCUGCGAAUAAGGAUCGGCUAACUCCGUGCCAGCCGCCGC